rnacentral:lncRNA from 1 species
AUCAAGUUGUAUGUUUUGGGAGUCUCUGCCUUCCUUCCUGCAGACAGAGAGGUGUUCCAGCAGGACUGGCUGCAUCAUUAAAGCAAUCAACUUCAUCAAGCCCCAUUUUCUCAUCUGAAAAUGACAUCAAAUUUAAGUUAGGAGCUUAUUAAUUUAAAAAAAAGUGGCCCGGUGCCCUGUGGAGGAUGUUAUUUCCAUAUGAAAAUUUGCACCAACUACAUUUCGGCAUUGGGCUACAAACUCAGAGAGAGGUAUUAUUAUUAGGUCACUGUGGCAUCUGGGAAAAUGUUUUAUUCUACAGGAUAUGAUCCUCAGAUCAUGUUUAAAGUAUUAGAUAGAAGAACAGAGAAAACACAAAGUUUGCAGAUGCUUCUAAAGUGAGCAACAGACAAAAACGAAACCUAUCCAAGUUUGAAAGUAAGUGGGCAAGGUGAAGUGUUCUAAUUCAAAGACAAACUAAACCAUGUGUAUCAGUGCAUUUUCUGUUGCUUAUAACGGAAUACCUACAGCUGGGUAAUUUUCUUAUUUAAACAACAUUUAUUUCUUACAGUUAUGGAGGCUGAGAAGUUACAGUUUGAGAAGCCGCAUCUGCUGAGAGCCUUCUUGAUGAUGGGGAUUGCUGAGGAGUCCUUGAGGCAGCCCAGGGUAUCACAUGCCAAGGUCACUGAGGGUGCUACCUCAGGAACUGCGAAUACUAGAGUGACCUCGGAUAUCUCAUCUGGAAGAUGGUAGCACUGCCAUCAGCUUGGGUGUCCAAAUGACCUCAUGGAUCACAGCUACCAUGGCCUGGAAUGCUGACCUUGGAGCUGCUUUAAGAGAAAAAUUAACUUCUUUGUUCUUUGAGCCACAUCAUUAUUAGGUCUCUUCUCAAAGCCACUUAACCACUUUUUCUAUCUCAUGAAGCUCUGAAAUUUUGUUUGGUUUCUGGAGUCAAAACAUUCAUUUGUUUCUUCUUUAUUCAACAAGAAUCAAUGAUUGGGGGCUCAUACCAGUUGUCCUGGUGCUUGAGGAAGUGAGGCUAUGCAUUCAAGGCCAACGUGGGCACCAUAAGAACCUCUCAUUCGUUAAAAAAAAAAUUGUUUAUUUUAUUGAAGCCACGAUUCCAAAGAGAAGAAUAGAAAAAAACAUUAGCCUUAUGGAUCUUUUGUCCUGGAAACAACACAGAGUGGAGACUAUUGGACUUUUCAAUAAAGUUCCUUUCCUGAGCAGUGCCAGCCCACUCCUAAUUUCCAGACUUGGUUAAGAUUAGACCAGGGUGCUGAAGAGUCAAAACAUCUAGAUUUUUUUGGCCUCAUUCUGCUUAUAGCCCCACAAAAACUACCCCAUAAAGUUUCUUGCUUGAGAUUUCAGACAAUUCUCAUAUGUUUUAUCAGAAUACACUCUGUAUUUCAUCCAACCAUAUAGCCUUUGGCUCCUACUUCAAGCAUUAAGAAUGGACCAUUUUUGGUAUGGAAAAUUAUCAGUUUUUGGGGAAAAGCCCCUAUUUCUCUGAUCUGUGCUCUGGAUUUGGCAGCUUCAUAGGCUUUCUCAAAGAGCCACAACUGCGAACCAUGGUGUGCUGUCACUAUCUCUGUGAAGCAUGGUGUGCUGUUAUUAUCGAUGCUCUGUGCAUUGGAAAUCCUGUGUGAGACUGGCAGAGGAUAGAGGGAAUGAAGAAAUCACAUUCGCCAGAAUGAGCUGCUCAAUUUCCUUAAGGAAGGAGUGUGUCUAACAUCCAGUGGUUUCCUUCGAGAGAGAGUGCGUACUUUCUUAACAUACGGACAAGAUUAGUACAUAGACAGAAUCACUGUCUGCAGAUCUUAGGCUGCUUUUCAGAGGCAGCUUUAAUCUUCCUAAUUGAAUGUUUAGCUUUUCCAGACCUGCACAAAAUGUAAUCAUGAUGUAAAAUAAUAGGACAGCACGUAAUCUCAUUGCAAUAUUUCAUAAUUAAUAUUAAAUGACUAAAAUCUAUUAAACUCAAUCAUUUUAAACUAAACUUCUAAUCUUCCCCAUUGCAGGUGAUGGCAACUCCAACUUUAUCAUUGCAUAGGCCAAAAACGUGAUGUCAUCCUUGACUCUUCUUUCUCUCGUAUCUCACAAGCAACUCAUCAGAAAAUCCUGUCAGCUCUGUUGCUUUCAAAAUUUAUUGAGAAUAUGAUUCCUUUGCAUCACCUCCACUGCUACCACUCUGGUGGAGCUGCCAACAUCUCUCACAUAGAUUAAGUUUUACACACACACACACACCAGAGUGUACUCUCAAUCAAACUGAUCUUUUUAAUAGGGAAGUAAGAUCAUUCAACUCCUCUGUCCAAAAACUUUCAAAUGGCUCUUCACUAAGCCCAAGUCCAUACAAGGACCUGUAAAAGCCCCAUUACCUUCUGACCUCGUUGCCUCCUACUUUGCUCUCUUACUGAGAUCCUGCCCCAGUGGCUUCCUUGUUGCUCCUGGGGCAAAUAAGGCAUGGUCUUGUUAUUUGCUUUAACUCUUUCUCAGUGUCCUUUCCUUGAUGUCUGCUUGGAUAUCUCCCUCACCUUCUUUAAGACUUAGCUUACAUAUGCAGGAGACUUAAUUAGACCUUUAUCUUUUACCACAUACAAAAAUUAACUUGAGAUGAAUUAAAAAUUUAAAGGUAAGACCUCAAAUUCUAAAAAUUAUAGAAGAAAAUGUAGGAAAUACUCUUCUCAAUGUCAGUCUUGGAAAAGAAUUGAUGGGUAAGUCCUCAAAAGCAAUUGCAACAAAAAAAAUUGACAAGUAGGAUCUAAUUAAACAAGAGGUUUUGUGCAGCAAAAGAAACUAGCAACAGAAUUGUCAACCUACAGAAUGAGAGAAAAUAUUUGCAAACUAUGCAGCCAACAAAGGUCUAAUACCCAGAAUCAAUAAGGAAAUUAAACAAAUUAACAAGCAACAAACAACCCCAUUAAAAAGUGGACAAAGGACAUGAAUAGUCAGUUCUCAAAAGAAGACAUACAAGCAGCCAACAAACAUGAAAAAAUGCUCACCAUCACUAAUAAUCAGAGAAAAGCAAAUUAAAACCGUAAUGAGAUAUUGUCUCACACCAGUCACAAUGGCUAUUAUUAAAACGCCAGAAAAUUAACAGAUGCGGUCAAGGCUGCAGAAAACAGGGGACACUUACACACUUUGAGUGGGAAUAUAAAUUAGUCCGACCACUGUGGAAAGCAGUUUGGAGAUUUCUCAAAGAACUUAAACCAGAACUACCAUUGACCCAGCAAUACCAUUAUUAGGUAUAUACCCAAAG